GUCCCAAAGUCACAGUUAAGUGGGAAACGAUGUGGGAAGGCACAGACAGCCAGGAUGUUGGCUUAGAAGCAGCCAUCAUUUAAAGAAAGCGUAAUAGCUCACUGGUCGAGUCGGCCUGCGCGGAAGAUGUAACGGGGCUAAACUGUGCACCGAAGCUGCGGCAGCGACACUAUGUGUUGUUGGGUAGGGGAGCGUUCUGUAAGCCUGCGAAGGUGGCCUGUGAGGGUUGCUGGAGGUAUCAGAAGUGCGAAUGCUGACAUAAGUAACGAUAAUGCGGGUGAAAAGCCCGCACGCCGGAAGACCAAGGGUUCCUGUCCAACGUUAAUCGGGGCAGGGUGAGUCGACCCCUAAGGCGAGGCCGAAAGGCGUAGUCGAUGGGAAACAGGUUAAUAUUCCUGUACUUGGUGUUACUGCGAAGGGGGGACGGAGAAGGCUAUGUUAGCCGGGCGACGGUUGUCCCGGUUUAAGCAUGUAGGCGGAGGUUCCAGGUAAAUCCGGUAC
rnacentral:rRNA from 1 species